rnacentral:rRNA from 1 species
AGAACCUUACCAGGGUUUGACAUCCUGCGAAUUCUCGUAGCAAGCAAGGAGCAUGCGGACGCUUGCGGAACGCAUGUAGCAGUGCUGAGGUAUGGGCUUGCAUUCGGCUUGCAUGCCGUUCCAGGCUUCGGUUGCUGUCGGAUGGAAGAUUGGUUUGGGGUUUAAAGGUUCCCCGCAACGAGCGCAACCCACGUCUUUAGUUGCCAGCAUUUAGUUGGGCACUCUAGAGAGACCGCCGGUGAUAAACCGGAGAAGGUGUGGAUGACGUCAAGUCAUCAUGCCCCUUCACAUCUGGGCUACACACGUACUACAAUGCUACGGACAAAAGGGCAGCAAACUUCGCGAGAGCUAGCAAAUCCCAUAAACGUGGCUC